CCUACGGGUGGCAGUAGUGAGGAAUAUUGGUCAAUGGGCGCGAGCCUGAACCAGCCAAGUAGCGUGAAGGAUGACUGCCCUACGUGUUGUAAACUUCUUUUAUAAAGGAAUAAAGUGAGGCACGUGUGCCUGUUUGUAUGUACCUUAUGAAUAAGGAUCGGCUAACUCCGUGCCAGCAGCCGCGGUAAUACGGAGGAUCCGAGCGUUAUCCGGAUUUAUUGGGUUUAAAGGGAGCGUAGGUGGGUUGUUAAGUCAGUUGUGAAAGUUUGCGGCUCAACCGUAAGAUGGCAAUUGAUACUGGCAGCCUUGAGUACAGUUGAGGUAGGCGGAAUGCGUGGUGUAGCGGUGAAAUGCUUAGAUAUCACGAAGAACUCCGAUUGCGAAGGCAGCUUACUAACCUGCCACUGACAUUGAUGCUCGAAAGUGUGGGUAUCAAACAGGAUUAGAUACCCUAGUAGUC
rnacentral:rRNA from 1 species